rnacentral:rRNA from 1 species
AGCAUCCGUAGCCUGUUCUGUAGGUCUUCUGUUAAAUCCAACGGCUUAACCGUUGGCCUGCAGAAGAUACCGCAGGACUAGGAGGCGGGAGAGGUGGACGGUACUCCACGUGUAGGGGUAAAAUCCUUUGAUCCGUGGAAGACCACCAGUGGCGAAGGCGGUCCACCAGAACGCGCUCGACGGUGAGGGAUGAAAGCUGGGGGAGCGAACCGGAUUAGAUACCCGGGUAGUCCCAGCCGUAAACGAUGCGAGCUAGAUGAUCCAAUCGCAAAUCGCGAUUGGAGUGUCGCAGGGAAGCCGUUAAGCUCGCCGCCUGGGAGUACGUCGCAGAAUCCCCC